GGCUGCAAAAUGGAGGAGGCUCUCAAGCAGCAGAGAAGAAAAAAGAGAAAUUUUGAAAAGGAAUUGGAAGACAUAUGCACCAGAUUCUGUUCCUUGAAGAACUGUAAGAAUAGGUAUUUGUGACCAGUGGGGAAAAAAACCCAAACCCUCAAUAAGCCUUCAUGCUCCUUCCUGUAAAGUCAUCUAAAACAGGGCUACACAGCUCGUGGCCUAGAAGAAGAUAUCCUGUGUGCAGCAAAGCACUUCCAAGGUGUGGAGCAGAACAAAGAGAACUUUGAUGAUUCUGGAGGCAAUAACUUCAAACUAUAGCUUCAUGCCUUUGCUGAGAACAUAGAUUCUACUGCCAGGAAGUAACAAUGGCAGCAAAACCGCAUUCUGUUGGUUGAAAAGAGCAUUCAGAGCUGGGGCUGUGAGACUACGCCAACCUUUCCCUUGUGUAAUGUCAAUGUCGGCUAUCACUUUGGCAGAAUCACCCAGCUCAGUGAAGACAGAAAACCCCUCCUUUCCUCCUGUUUUUCAUCUGCUGGUGGCAUUCCAAGUGAC